rnacentral:rRNA from 1 species
GUUUAGACCGUCGUGAGACAGGUUAGUUUUACCCUACUGACGACCAUAGAAGAAAUGUUAUUGCGAUAGUAAUCCUGCGAAGUACGAGAGGAACCGCAGGUUCGGACAGUUGGUUGGCGCACUUGGUCGAGCGGCCAGUGGUGCGAGGCUACGUCCGGAUGAUUAUACCUGAAGGCCUCUGAAGGUAGAAUCGAUGCUGGAGGAAGGCAAUGAUACGCAGCGUCUUUUGACUCGUUUCGACGUUUUAUCUGGGUGGCUAUAACGAGACCCGUCUUGGUUAGAGAUUAAAACUCGCUCCAUCAGCGAGGGGGUUCCGGCCUUUUCGUUUCGUUUCGGACGAAUGCCUGGACGGCGCUUCAUUCUCGAGCCGCGGUUUUCAGAGGGGAGGUUCGCUGACGGCUAUGCUGGGUAUCCGCUACGGGAAUGCCAAACAUGCUCCCGUUCGCCUCUUUCUUUUUACCCGACUAAAG